rnacentral:misc_RNA from 1 species
GAUGAAGAACGCAGCGAAAUGCGAUAAGUAAUGUGAAUUGCAGAAUUCAGUGAAUCAUCGAAUCUUUGAACGCACAUUGCGCCCCCUGGUAUUCCGGGGGGCAUGCCUGUCCGAGCGUCAUUACAACCCUCAAGCUCAGCUUGGUGUUGGGCCCCGCCGCCCCGGCGGGCCCUAGAGUCAGUGGCGGUGCCGUCCGGCUCCGAGCGUAGUAAUUCUUCUCGCUCUGGAGGCCCGGUCGUGUGCUCGCCAGCAACCCCCAAUUUUUUUCAGGUUGACCUCGGAUCAGGUAGGGAUACCCGCUGAACUUAAGCAUAUCAAUAAGCGGAGGA